rnacentral:tRNA from 1 species
GCCUUCGUCGUGCAGUAGUCAGCACGCUCGACCCGUAACCGAGAAGUCACUAGUUCGAUUCCUGGCGAAGGCG